GCGAUCAUACCAGCACUAAUGCACCGGAUCCCAUCAGAACUCCGAAGUUAAGCGUGCUUGGGCGAGAGCAGUAAUAGGAUGGUUGACCCCCUGGGAAGUCCUCGUGUUGCACCU
rnacentral:rRNA from 1 species